rnacentral:pre_miRNA from 1 species
CUUGGGGGGGGGGGUCCUUCAGCUUGGGUUGCGAGAGGGUGCAGGCCAGACUGAGGGACCCCACCAAUGCACG